rnacentral:rRNA from 1 species
GAUGAACGCUGGCGGCGUGCCUAAUACAUGCAAGUCGAGCGAACAGAUAAGGAGCUUGCUCCUUUGACGUUAGCGGCGGACGGGUGAGUAACACGUGGGUAACCUACCUAUAAGACUGGAAUAACUCCGGGAAACCGGGGCUAAUGCCGGAUAACAUUUAGAACCGCAUGGUUCUAAAGUGAAAGAUGGUUUUGCUAUCACUUAUAGAUGGACCCGCGCCGUAUUAGCUAGUUGGUAAGGUAACGGCUUACCAAGGCAACGAUACGUAGCCGACCUGAGAGGGUGAUCGGCCACACUAGAACUGAGACACGGUCCAGACUCCUACGGGAGGCAGCAGUAGGGAAUCUUCCGCAAAGGGCGAAAGCCUGACGGAGCAACGCCGCGUGAGUGAUGAAGGUCUUCGGAUCGUAAAACUCUGUUAUUAGGGAAGAACAAAUGUGUAAGUAACUGUGCACGUCUUGACGGUACCUAAUCAGAAAGCCACGGCUAACUACGUG